UGAUAGAGGCGCAAAGCUCAUCAGUAGGCGCGGGCAAGCAAGGCUGGCAAGCCGCUUCCGCCGAAAGGGUGCUUUGCCGAAGUGGCAGACGGGUUGCCAACCGUCUGGUGCUGGGGUCGUGCAGAAUAUGCACGGGACUGUCACUUUUGUGGAGAGCUAUCG
rnacentral:ncRNA from 1 species